rnacentral:lncRNA from 1 species
AAAUUUUGUUUGGCGAUGCUCACAAACGGAGUUUGCUAGCAUUUGGCUGAAUUUAUCACAGUUGGCGUCUGGUAGCCCAGUUGCCAUUUGGAGAAAACAUAUGAUGGUUGCCCUUCAAUGUUUUUAUCUUGGACAUUAAUGAGAAAUUGUCGAUGAAUGCAAAUUCGUUGGCCGGUUGAUACAUAGUUGAACUGUCCUAAUAAAUCCAUGACAAAAAUUUGCCAAAAUUCAAACUUACUAUUUGUUGUUUUUUUAUUAUUAUCAUCAUAUAUUAGUUUGUUUUACAAUUUGUUCACAUUUGUAUAACGAAGGUAAUCUGGAGUCGUUGGAAAUAUUACGAGGGAUUUCAACGAAUUUGGGUUAUCUUUUAUCUGGUAUAUCGUAUUCCUAAAUUGACUUCUGUUGGUUUCUUUCGAAUAUUUAAUAAUAAGAUUUAAUCAUUCAGCAUUAAAUCAAUUUAAUAAAUUGAGAGUAUCGUCUGCUAAACUAGAGUUAACUUUUCUUUAAUUUUGACGGACUUAAGCGUCUUUUGUUAACCUACAUUUUUCAUAAGCGGUUUUCCCGCUUUUAUUUGGUAUAAAAUUGCAUGCUUUUCGUGAUUUGUUCAUUGCGUGAUUUGAACUCUGAAGGAACACAAAAACCCACCCUAUCCCACCCUUUAGAAUAUUUUUUCUGCUGUUUGUUGUAUAUUUUCAGAUAUUGCCAAAAGAAGCGUCAUGGAUUGGACA